UACGUAGGGUGCGAGCGUUGUCCGGAAUUAUUGGGCGUAAAGAGCUCGUAGGCGGUUUGUCGCGUCUGGUGUGAAAAUCCAGGGCUUAACCCUGGACCUGCAUCGGGUACGGGCAGACUAGAGUGCGGUAGGGGAGAUCGGAAUUCCUGGUGUAGCGGUGAAAUGCGCAGAUAUCAGGAGGAACACCGGUGGCGAAGGCGGAUCUCUGGGCCGAUACUGACGCUGAGGAGCGAAAGCGUGGGGAGCGAACAGG
rnacentral:rRNA from 1 species